AUGGCUUCCGACCAGCCGUUCGCGAGAGCACUGGCGGCCAUCUGCGUAGGCUUCUUCGUCAUCCUAUGCUGCUCGCCACAAGCGCGAGCCGUGGACUACACGUUCGCCCGGGACGCGACGCGGGCGCCGGCGGUGUCGUACUACGACUACAUCAUCGUGGGCGGCGGCACGGCGGGGUGCCCGCUCGCCGCCACGCUGUCGCAGCGCUUCCGCGUGCUCCUGCUGGAGCGCGGCGGGUCGCCCUACGGCGACCAGCGGGUGGAGAACAUGACCCACUUCACGGCCACGCUCGCGGACACGUCCCCGGGGUCGCCGGCGCAGCGCUUCGUGUCCGAGGACGGCGUCAUCAACUCGCGCCCGCGGGUGCUGGGCGGCGGCAGCUGCAUCAACGCCGGGUUCUACACGCGCGCCAGCGACGAGUACGUGAUGGACGUCGGGUGGGACCUCGAGGCGGCCAAGGCGGCGUACCGGUGGGUGGAGGACGUGGUGGCGUUCCACCCGGAGCUCGGCCCCUGGCAGGGCGCGCUGCAGAGGGGGCUCAUGGAGGUCGGCGUCGCGCCGGACAACGGCUUCACGUUCGACCACAUCGACGGGACCAAGGUCGGCGGCUCCAUAUUCGACGACGAGGGGCGGCGCCACACGGCCGCCGACCUGCUGCGGUACGCGCGCCCCGAGGGCAUCGACCUGCUGCUCCGGGCCAGAGUGGCCAAGAUCCUCUUCAACGUCGGAGGGCGCCGGGCACGGCCGGUGGCGCACGGCGUGGUGUUCCACGACUCCAGAGGGCGGAUGCACAAGGCCUACCUCAACACCGGCCGCCGCAACGAGAUCAUCCUCUCGGCGGGCGCCUUGGGCAGCCCGCAGCUGCUGAUGCUCAGCGGCGUCGGCCCCGCGGACCACCUGCGCUCCUUCAACAUCACCCUCGUGCUGAACCAGUCGGCGGUCGGCCAGGGCAUGGCCGACAACCCCAUGAACGCCAUCUUCGUGCCGUCGCCUUCCCCCGUCGAGGUCUCCCUCAUCCAGGUCGUCGGCAUCACCCAGUUCGGCAGCUACAUCGAGGGCGCCAGCGGCUCCAACUGGGCCAACCCGCGCCACCAGGGCUCCGGUGGCAACCGCCGGCCGCCCCGCAACUUCGGCAUGUUCUCUCCCCAGACUGGGCAGCUGGCCACGGUGCCCCCGAAGCAGCGCACGCCGGAGGCGAUCGCGCGCGCGGCGGACGCGAUGAGCCAGCUCGACGACUCGGUGUUCCGCGGCGGCUUCAUCCUGGAGAAGGUCCUUGGGCCGGCGUCCACGGGCCACCUGGAGCUGCGGAACCUCAACCCGGACGACAACCCGGCGGUGACGUUCAACUACUUCUCGCACCCGGAGGACCUCCGGCGCUGCGUGGAGGGGUUGACGCUCAUCGAGCGCGUCAUCCAGUCCAAAUCCUUCGAGAACUUCACGUACCCCUACUUCUCCAUGGAGGAGCUGCUCAACAUCACGGCGGAGUUCCCCGUGAACCUGCUGCCGCGGCACGACAACGACUCCAAGUCGCUGGAGCAGUUCUGCAAGGACACCGUGAUGACCAUCUGGCACUACCACGGCGGCUGCCAGGUCGGCAGGGUCGUGGACGCCGAGUACCGGGUGCUCGGCGUCGACGCGCUGCGCGUCAUCGACGGCUCCACGUUCAACGCCUCGCCGGGAACCAACCCGCAGGCCACCGUGAUGAUGCUCGGCAGGUAUAUGGGUGUUAAGCUGCGAGACGAGAGAGUGCACGCUGAAGGAUUAAGGAGGAGAAAACUGUAG
rnacentral:rRNA from 1 species